rnacentral:misc_RNA from 1 species
GAAAUGCGAUAAGUAAUGUGAAUUGUAGAAUUCCGUGAAUCAUCGAAUCUUUGAACGCACAUUGCGCCCUCUGGUAUUCCGGGGGGCAUGCCUGUCCGAGCGUCAUUGCGAACCCCUCAAGCACGGCUUGUGUGAUGGGCCCUCCCGCGUCUUGGUCGUCAAGACGGGCCCGAAAUGCAGUGGCGGCUUCGCGGUUAUCCGAUCAGCCAGAGCGUAUGGGGACUUUCUCUCUGUCACACGCCCGCGGCGCGGACCGACGCCUGUCGACCUUCAUUCAUCGUUUUCUCGGUUGACCUCGGAUCAGGUAGGGAUACCCGCUGAACUUAAGC